GAAGACACAAUGUAGAAUGUCUCCUUGGUUCCAAUAUUCCAGUCCUCUGGGUGACCAGGGUCACCUGGUUCAAGGCAAACCUGAGGAUUUUUGAAAGGCAAAUCUCAAUUGUGGUUUUACUUUUUUGCAUCCUAAUAUUAAGGGAAGAAGCUCUAAGGUGUUUACAAAAACACCUCCCUAUACCGUCUUAUAUGUAAAGCUUUAGAAAACAUUUA